GGGGACGAGUUUGCAACACAUCGCUCUUCAUCUCCCGACCCAGUACGUGAACCGUCACAGUGAGAUAGCGUCCAGAACAUAGUGAACCGUCAGAGAGAUAGCGUCCAGAACAUAGUGAACCGUCACAGAGAGGUAGCUUCCAGAACAUAGUGAACCGUCAGAGAGGUAGCUUCCAGAACAUAGUGAACCGUCACAGAGAGGUAGCUCCAGAACAUAGUGAACC